rnacentral:rRNA from 1 species
UACGAAGGGGGCUAGCGUUGCUCGGAAUUACUGGGCGUAAAGGGCUCGUAGGCGGCCAACUAAGUCGGAUGUGAAAUCCCCAGGCUUAACCUGGGAACUGCAUCCGAUACUGGAUGGCUUGAAUCCGGGAGAGGGAUGCAGAAUUCCAGGUGUAGCGGUGAAAUGCGUAGAUAUCUGGAGGAAUACCGGUGGCGAAGGCGGCAUCCUGGACCGGCAUUGACGCUGAUGAGCGAAAGCCAGGGGAGCAAACGGG